GAUGAACGCUGGCGGCGUGCCUAAUACAUGCAAGUCGAGCGAACGGACGAGAAGCUUGCUUCUCUGAUGUUAGCGGCGGACGGGUGAGUAACACGUGGAUAACCUACCUAUAAGACUGGGAUAACUUCGGGAAACCGGAGCUAAUACCGGAUAAUAUUUUGAACCGCAUGGUUCAAAAGUGGAAGACGGUCUUGCUGUCACUUAUAGAUGGAUCCGCGCUGCAUUAGCUAGUUGGUAAGGUAACGGCUUACCAAGGCAACGAUGCAUAGCCGACCUGAGAGGGUGAUCGGCCACACUGGAACUGAGACACGGUCCAGACUCCUACGGGAGGCAGCAGUAGGGAAUCUUCCGCAAUGGGCGAAAGCCUGACGGAGCAACGCCGCGUGAGUGAUGAAGGUCUUCGGAUCGUAAAACUCUGUUAUUAGGGAAGAACAUAUGUGUAAGUAACUGUGCACAUCUUGACGGUACCUAAUCAGAAAGCCACGGCUAACUACGUGCCAGCAGCCGCGGUAAUACGUAGGUGGCAAGCGUUAUCCGGAAUUAUUGGGCGUAAAGCGCGCGUAGGCGGUUUUUUAAGUCUGAUGUGAAAGCCCACGGCUCAACCGUGGAGGGUCAUUGGAAACUGGAAAACUUGAGUGCAGAAGAGGAAAGUGGAAUUCCAUGUGUAGCGGUGAAAUGCGCAGAGAUAUGGAGGAACACCAGUGGCGAAGGCGACUUUCUGGUCUGUAACUGACGCUGAUGUGCGAAAGCGUGGGGACCAAACAGGAUUAGAUACCCUGGUAGUCCACGCCGUAAACGAUGAGUGCUAAGUGUUAGGGGGUUUCCGCCCCUUAGUGCUGCAGCUAACGCAUUAAGCACUCCGCCUGGGGAGUACGACCGCAAGGUUGAAACUCAAAGGAAUUGACGGGGACCCGCACAAGCGGUGGAGCAUGUGGUUUAAUUCGAAGCAACGCGAAGAACCUUACCAAAUCUUGACAUCCUUUGACAACUCUAGAGAUAGAGCCUUCCCCUUCGGGGGACAAAGUGACAGGUGGUGCAUGGUUGUCGUCAGCUCGUGUCGUGAGAUGUUGGGUUAAGUCCCGCAACGAGCGCAACCCUUAAGCUUAGUUGCCAUCAUUAAGUUGGGCACUCUAAGUUGACUGCCGGUGACAAACCGGAGGAAGGUGGGGAUGACGUCAAAUCAUCAUGCCCCUUAUGAUUUGGGCUACACACGUGCUACAAUGGACAAUACAAAGGGCAGCGAAACCGCGAGGUCAAGCAAAUCCCAUAAAGUUGUUCUCAGUUCGGAUUGUAGUCUGCAACUCGACUACAUGAAGCUGGAAUCGCUAGUAAUCGUAGAUCAGCAUGCUACGGUGAAUACGUUCCCGGGUCU
rnacentral:rRNA from 1 species